UGUAGGUUUGGGUCUCUCAAUUUGGAAAAUAAUAUAUAUAAAAAAGGAAAAAUAUGAAAGAAUAAUAACCAAAAGAAUAAUUAAGAAAAAAGAUUAGAGUGUGCAUUGGCUUCAAGCUUUGUGCUCUGUUUCUCUUUACAAACUUUACACAAAGAAAUUCAUCUCUCAACUACUCAGCUUUCGCCAUGGACGCAUUCUUCAGAUGCAAUGCCAUCACUCUCCGCCCACACCUUCCGCUUCUUCUCCCAAAUGGCUUUAAACCAACUUCGCCGGAAUCUCAGUACGACGUCCCAGCCGCUCCGAUUCGGUACCCAACGGCGGUCGGCGCCGCUUUCAAAGACGGAUGCGCUUUCUUGGAGCUUGCAAGGGCCACAUUUGCUUUGGCGGCCAAACUACAUAAAUCCGUUAAAGAGAUCGGAAGAUGGGCUUUCUUGAGCGGGAUUAGGAAAUAAAUCUCCCCCAAUUCGAGCUCUCUGUCGCUGGAUAUUUGAGGGACGAUUGAAUCGAUUUUCAUAGAUUCUGAACUACAGAGGAAACAGUUGGGAUUUUGAUUGAGAAUGUGGCUGGCCUUUACUGGGUGCCUCAAUUCUUGUAGCCUACCAUCUGUAUGAAUAAUUUUCGCAGUGAAAGGCCAGUUGGUGAGGCUAGCAUUUGAGUGCUGAGAUGAGGCACAGACCCCCAUGGUUUUUUGCUUGUAAGAGGGAAAAUGGUGAAGUCGGUCGAGUGGAGGAGAAGAUGGGUAUGUAGUGAAUCGUUUUAUAUAUUUAUAUACAAAGGAAACUGAGAGAAGAUUAGCAGGGCAUGUGAAUGAUGGGGCCAUGAUAAGACCGUAUAAAAACGGCGGAAAUGCACUGAAUAUUAGGGUAUGAUCCUUUUCCAUAUUGAAGUUUCCUUGGUGCUACAACUAGAUACCAAAACUGUGCAGAAGCGGGGCCAUACUGACCAUUUAUCUACAGGGGAGAAAGACCCCAUUAUCGACCAACCGACUGUUCAACGUGUCUCUCACUCUUUGACAAUGACAACAAUUGGCGAGAGGUCACUACCUGGCCGUGAGGAUGAGUUUUCUUUGAUCCGAUAAUGAAAUUGUCUCCUAUCCAGAAGUAAAAAAAGGACAUUAAUUGUGCGGAUCAAUCUUGAUGCCACAGAUGGGUGACUGUCCUGUGUCAUGUUUGAAUAUAGGAUUAAGAAGUUGGGAGAAUGGAGACUGAAAAUAGUACCAACCAAAUUACUUCUUGGACUGAAACAGAGAAGGAGAAGGACCUUGUCCCGUGUCAUAACUGUUCCUUGCAGUACUGAAUUAUACCAUCCAGAUUCUGUCUCAUGAGGAAAAGGGAAAGUCCACUUUCUGAAAAGGGAAAUUUUGCUGAAAUUGCGAUGUGGGCUCAUAAUUGAAGAUGCAAAUUAACUAUAUAGUAAAAAUGGAUCGAUGGGAUCGAAAUUUCUUAGUUUCACGGUAUGUAUUGAUCAGGUAGAGCAGAUUUGGAGACCCUUUUAUGAGGCUCUGGACCAAAAAAGCGUGUCUCAUUCAUCAUCUUUAAGGGAAAAUCUUAAAGCUAUACAGUGUAGGCAAGUAAAAGAAGACCCAAACACAUUCAGUUAACAGGUAGACUUUUGGCCCAACUCUUUCUUUCUUAUUCAUUAUUCCCUUUUCAUACGUUCCUUUCACACUUAGCAAAACCUUUUUUAUUUUUUAUUGACACUAUUUGUCGUUUCUUUGUUGAAUGCAUCUCUGUUGUGGAAUAUUGCCUUUUCUCUGUCACUCACUCACUCACUCACUCUCUCUCUUUUCUUAUUUUUCCAACCCAAGCCAUAAAGCACGUCUUUCUUUCUUAUAAGCCAACCAAUUAAGGCCCCAAAUUGAAAGUAAAAAUGUCUAGCUUUUCCUUGGGAACUUGAGGAUGGCCCAAAAUUAAAAUUGUUCCGACCAUGGAUAUUUUGAUAUUGGACAGUUUCAAUAUAGGACUUUCCUAUCAAUGCACCCUUCUAAAUUUUUUGGAAAAGUAUCGUAAUUAAAUGGAGCGGAGGGAAGAUUUGAACCUAAGACCUAUCGUCUAUGGGUACAUACAGGUGUCAGUUGAGCUAAACUCAUGAUUAGACCACCCUUCUAAAUUUGUAUAAAUUUGAAUACGAAUUUUUUUUUGAAAGAUAGGUCUUAAUGGUUGAAGCGUUAAUAUAAUUAAAUUUAUCCUAACCCUCAUAUUAUGCUUUUGGAUUAAUUGUGAUUUAACAUGAUAUAAGAGUAGGAUAGGAAGUCCUCUAAUCAAAGUUUCAAGCCCUCAUUCUACCCCUCUUUAAUAUUGAUUUCCACUUGUAAAGUAUUUUACAGAGAGGGGAGUGUUAAAGUGUUUAUAUAAUUAAAUUUAUCUUAACCCAUCGCCCAUCGGUAUCUUAAAGGUUAAUUGAUGAUUUAACAUUGAUAAAAUGAAUUGUGAAGGGAUAUUUGUGAGUGUAUGCAUAUAUAUGUUGAUAUGUACAUUAUGAUCACUCUUUUUUGUAUUUAUAUGUUUGCCAAUUUUGGAAAUAUUUUCAAGCAUGAAAUACUUUUAUAUUUGAGAGAAAAGGGGAAAGGUAAUCACAUAUAUCAGCCGUAGUAGGCAUAAUCAAACUGCUGUAGUUUAUGAAGACACACUUCGUCGAUAUUUAGAUAUGUCUGCUUCGUGAGCUUGUAGCAAUUGUUGUUUUUGUAUUGUUUCCAACUAAACUAACAAAUGGUUUAUACUGACUUUACUUUAAACAUUCUUUUAUUUAAGUUUGUGUGUUCAAAUUCAAAUGACCCCAAAUGAAUUUUGAAUAUCCUACCACACAAUUUAUAUUUGAGAUGAACUCUCUAACUCAAGAUUGGCCUACAUGAUUGGAUGAACCCCUCUUCGAUAUUAUUAUUUAUUCUUAACCUAAAUUUGUGUUUAGCAUUAUCUUUAUUGUAAAUUAUGUUCAGUUGUUUCUUUUAAUUUUGUCUUUAUGCAUAAAUAAUUUGUGCUUAGUUUCAAUAUCUUCGCUGUUUAGCUAUUGUAAAUGUGUCGUGUUAUCUAUACGUAGACAAGCUUUUCUUAAUACAUGAGAGCUUCAGGACUAAAGAUGGAGAAUCUGCUGGCUCUGGGGCGUUAUUUUCCCCUUGUUUCUUCAUCUUCGUUUUAGGUAGGCUGCCUUUUUAGAUUAUAUUCUGUGAACUCGUAGGAAUUUCAGUUGAAAGAAAAUUACUGAGUUUUUCUUUUGGUCAGAGAAAUGA